AGCGAACGCUGGCGGCAGGCCUAACACAUGCAAGUCGAACGAUCCUUCGGGAUAUUGGCGGACGGGUGAGUAACACGUGGGAACGUGCCCUUUGGUUCGGAAGAACGCAGGGAAACUUGAGCUAAUACCGGAUGUGCCCUUCGGGGGAAAGAUGUAUCGCCAAUGGAGCGGCCCGCGUUGGCUUUGCUAGUUGGUGGGGUAGAGGCGCACCAAGGCUACGACGCAUAGCUGGUCUGAGAGGAUGAUCAGCCACACUGGGACUGGGACACGACCCAGACUCCUACGGGAGGCAGCAGUGGGCAAUCUUGCGAAAUGGGCCAAAGCCGGACGGAGCCAUGCCGCGUGAAUGAUGAAGGUCUUAGGAUUGUAAAAUUCUUUCACCGGGGACGAUAAUGACGGUACCCGGAGAAGAAGUCCCGGCUAACUUCGUGCCAGCAGCCGCAGUAAACC
rnacentral:rRNA from 1 species